AUCUUUUUCAGUUUGUUUCUUGAUCAUAUAUUAAUACUCUUUGAACUUAUCAAAGGCUUCGAAUUUAUGUUUCAUAAGAUACACAUAUCCGAACCUUAAUAAAUCUUUCGUAAAGGUGAUAAAUUGGAGUAUCCUCCUCUGGUCUGAGUUAUCAUUGAUUCACAUACAUCUGUAUGUACUAGGACUAGCAAUUCAUUUGCCCUCUCUCUAUAUUCAAAAAAUGGAGUCUUAGUCAUCUUACCCAUG
rnacentral:lncRNA from 1 species